UACAGAGGGGGCGAGCGUUGUUCGGAAUUACUGGGCGUAAAGGGCGCGUAGGCGGCCUUCUAAGUCGAACGUGAAAUCCCUGGGCUCAACCCAGGAACUGCGUCCGAUACUGGGAGGCUUGAAUCCGGGAGAGGGAUGCGGAAUUCCAGGUGUAGCGGUGAAAUGCGUAGAUAUCUGGAGGAACACCGGUGGCGAAGGCGGCAUCCUGGACCGGUAUUGACGCUGAGGCGCGAAAGCCAGGGGAGCAAACGGG
rnacentral:rRNA from 1 species